CAUAAACUUGGCAAAAGGUGUCAUUUUUCAGCUGCAGCAAGUCCUUGCGAAAAAGGGUCUUCGGCUUCCCAUUUUGACGGGAAAGAGGCAUAUUUUGGUGAACCACACAAAUGGUGAGAAGAGGUAGAAAGAGAGAGGGGACAGCAACUGAAAGGAGAUGGAAGUCCAGACACUCUGCCACUGUGUGCCAUUGAACAAGAAAUCUCUCUUUGGAUUAGGGGGUCAAGCUAGUAUGAAGAUUGUUCAAGAGUCAAGACUAUUGAAGACAUGACGUCAUGGACCUGGUUGCACCUGGCAAGGGAACUAUAUGACUUCACUGAAGUAUUCACAAAACCCUUAGUAAAAUUAACAUUAGUACUAAUUUUCAUUUUUCAAAGAUAAUCAUUAUAUUGACAUUGUGGAUAUCUUUUUAUGAUUGUUAUCAUAAAAUUAUUAUAGUGUUAAUGAUGAUAGGUCAUAAUAAUAGAAAUGAAAAAUAAGUAGAAAAGAAGACGACAAAGAAGAGGGAGGAAAAGAAGAAGAUGAUGAAGAAGAAAAA